ensembl:lncRNA
GCUUGAAAAAGUAGUCACCAAUGAGCGGGAACUUUAUGCAACCUGAAACAGUUUAAUUCCUGCAGUGGAAACACGGCUUUAGCUGGACAGCAGCCGCCGUAGCCUUGACUAGACAGGAUAUGAUGUUUUCACAUCAUAGCUGAGUCAGAUCCAGUGAUCAGUUUUUCUGAAAGAUAUAUUUCUGUUUAUCUUUGAAAACCCCAGAGGGUCUUUUAUCAACUGCUGAAAAUGACAUAUCUCAUUGCUUUUUUGUAAAACAGAAAAUCUGAACAUGAAAAUAUAGAAUAAUGAAAGGCACAAACUGAGGAAAGAUGAAUUCUAAAAUGCAAUGUAACCAUAGCUCUUAGACAGGAAGAUUAUCUGUUACACAGCAGUGUCUCUCCAGUGCUAACCAAUGCUAACAUUAGCCACCCUAAGUUACUGUUCAUACCAGAACAAGGAGGGCUUCAACAGUAAAACUACUGAGUACUAAACUGAGCGAAGAUGUGUUUUCUUGCUCAAGAAUUGAAGUUUUUGUUUGUAUGAGUUAAUGUCGUUUCUUUGUUCUAAACUUACUUGUUCGAAUGACCACUGACUGUUGAUUUUUCAGUGUGUGCUGCUUUGCAGACAGCUGUAAUGUUUAUUUCAGUAUGCUGUGAAAAUCAGCUGGCAGAGACUUGAAACAGUGCUGUCACUUCAAAUCUGAACAUGGUUGUAUCUUCAGUGUAAUGCCUCAUCUGGACUUCUGCUUUCUUCCUUAGAGUUAGCUGAGAUGUUCGAUACCACACUCAUAUAGGUACCUUCAUUAUGAUGCUAGCAAGUUGUGAGCCUAGCUUAGCAUAUAGACUGCACUGCAAGCCUGGCCUUUCCAGAGUUGAUCUGGAUCAUUUGUAAAGCUCACUAAGAACCCAGUGGAGUCUACUGGUUGCAGACUGUUUGGAGGCUCUGGGCUAAGCUAAGCUAAGCUAAACAACCUACCAGUGGUGUCAUUUUUAGCAUACAGAUAUGAGGGUGGUUUCAUCAAAUCUCUGCAAGAAGAGAGCAUGCAUACUAUUAAAUUACAAAGGAUGUGACUUGUAGCAAAUGGGCUGAAAUGUACAGAACCAAACAAAAAGCAGUGGUGUCAUCCUUUAAGUGUCUGACAUGAGAUCUUCUUCUCCUAGCAGCCCUGCUUGAAGGCACUUGAUGUGAAGUCUGUAUCCGAUAAAUUCAGCCUCACUUCCUCGUUUACUUGAUCCUGUAUUUAAAUGAACACUGAGCACAUUUAUCCUGUGACAGAACGUCUCAUUAACUGCUCUGGUGUAACAUAUAAACCCCCCUGUGCUCCCCCAGAAGGCUGUUUACUGAUUGUGGAUGUUCUGCUGCUGUUCCCAUCAUCCCUGUAAAUACUGUUGUUGCUGCAUUUCCCUAAUUAGCAGAUCUCAUCCCUCUGCAUUUACAUUUAUUAUUACUAAUAUUUUUGACAGCUUAGCAUGAGCAAGCACCAACAGAAGCUACUUAGACAUUUAAUUCCCUAAAUCCAGCAGUUGAGGAGAGUACAAGCUGUAACACUUUAUGCCAAUGUGUGGUCAUUGGGCGUGUUCAUGUUUUGGUGGACGAGGAUGAAGGCAUGUGUGUGUUCAUGUAUGUUUUGCCUCUGUUGCUCCGAUAAUGGAAUCAAUUAUGUGAUUAUUUUUUUAAAAAUCACUAGAUUAAAGCAACAUGAGGGAUUAUUUAUGGCAUUUUGAUGAUAUUUAGGGCUUAGGACACUUUGCCGUAGCAUUUCUGUUUGUGCCAGAAGAAAGAUGUGUUGAAGAAAACGAACUGAAAGCACCUUUGUAAAAAAUAAAAUAAAAUAAAACACACAAUGCCAAAUACUACUUUUCUUUUUGCUAUUUUAGGGUAAACAUCCUCCACACGUCGACAUUCACUGUGUGGAAAGUUAUUCCUUGUUUUCCUCUUUGUUUUCUCGUUAGGCCUGGGUGGGACUCAGGAGUCUAAAGGCUGGUACUCUCAGAUCAGUGAGCACUACUCUGUGGAUACAGUGAAUGUGUAGAAAGCCUUGUAGUAUUGCAUUGUAUGUAAUGUAUAUAAUGAAUAAAGAUUGUAUUUUGUUCAAGUUUUCUUAA